GACAAACGCUGGUAACGAUAGUUACUUGAGGAAAGUCCUUGCUCACUCAUUCUGAGAUGAAUGGUAAUGUUUGUGCUAGGGGAAAAAAUAACCCUAGGUAGCUUAAUGCUAACGGCUUCGAACAAGUCCCAAGUGGAUUUUAGUAGAUAUAAAAGUGCCAAAGAGACGAGCUAAAGUAGUAAUACUUUAGGUGGAACGUGGUAAACCCCGCAAGUGAGAAACCCAAAUUAUGGUAGGGGAGACUUGUUUGAGAAAAUGAACUUAAAACAAGUUUUGGAAUAAUUUAUUUCAAAAGAUAAAUGUUUGUCACCCAAGUGGUACAGAACAAGGCUUACAA
rnacentral:RNase_P_RNA from 1 species